CAACUCUUUUCCCUUCACAAAUAUCAACCUAUAUCUUUAACAACAUUCGUCUGAUAACAUAUUAUGAAUAUACUUAAUUCAAAAUAUAACUUUCAACAACGGAUCUCUUGGCUCUCGCAUCGAUGAAGAACGCAGCGAAAUGCGAUACGUAAUGUGAA
rnacentral:rRNA from 1 species